GCAAGCAGCAUGUUUUUCCUGGAGUGGAGGUCGGUGGGGUCCGUGUGCUGUCUGUUCAAGUACUCAGAAACAGCUUUGGCUGGGAACUCCGUUUCGCAGAUGUACCCAAAAUCCCGGGCUAAAUGAACGGCCUCACCUGGAGGGAAGGAGGGGAGCAUUAGCUCAGGUACCGGUGGCAUCGGCCUCCUGCCCACCACUUCCCGGGGAGGGACCGGCCCUUCAAACGGAGCCUGGAAAACUUCUAACACCCCUUGUGCUUUGGGGACGGACUCCAGGUACGUGUUUUCCCACCACAAGCCCUGUGCUGGGGCCCAUCAAGUCGAUGGGCCAGGUAUUUCAGCUGAUGAGGUUUGUCUUUGCUACAAUGCACUUAUGAUGGUGUGUACCCAUGCGGCGGUUGUGCAGAACUGUGGGAAAAGCACACACACACCCCUACACACACACGCGCGCGCACUUUCAAAUUAACUGGGACAAAAACAAAAUAGAGAGAGAAAUCUAGUUAAAUCCCGAAAGACAGAAAGACCCAAACUUCUCUUAAGAGUAGAGAAACCAUUCCUGUUUCAACAUAGCAGAUCAUCCUCGAAAUUUUUACAGAUAUGGACAUAGUGUUAGCAUUGAUGUAAAUUCAUUGCAGAACAUUAUAUACGCACUUGUUUAAACGCACACACAGAGCGCUUGCAUCAUCAUCGCAAUCAUCGCCACAUCUCUAAAACGAUGGAGAUAACUGCAUUUCGCCAGAAGGAAACUAUUAAUCUGCUUUCUUAACUGACCGUCCCACAACAGGAAUUCUGCCUGGUCGAAAGACAGCAAGUAAUGGCCACAUUUUUCUGUGAAAAAUAAUAAUUGCUCUAGUUCUAAUUCUGUCACUUUUCCUGCCUGUGUGUUUUCGGGUUUCUUGCCUCCAGAGUUUCGCAUCAUCCAACUUCUACUGAUGUACUUCGUGCCACAAGAAGAAGACAGUAGCUGCAGAAAGGAGGCGGGAGGGGGGGGGGAACCUCAGACUUCAGGAGGAUUCCACCAGAUUACAGCUCAACCCCUCUAGAAUAACCAUUAAACUCUCUAACGCACCGCCUGAGGUACCGUGGGGGAAGAUUUCCAACACGCAAACCAGGCUUCUCGCUCAUCACCGACCCGUUGACGAUGGGCUGGGCACCCCGACAGCCACUACCAGCCCCCCUCUCCCGCCGGGGCCGCCCGGACAGCCGAGCCGUGACCCCGGCCGAGACGGUUCUGCUCUCGGGGAUACAACAGCAGCAACGCCAGAGCCUGGCUGGUGGCAGAAAAGAAAAUAAAUCUCCCUCAGGCUCAACUUCUCCCAAAAGGAGGGAGCUCUCCAGAGAAACUGUUGAUUUGCUUCUGAACCUCAAGCCGGCUUCGGGAAGGGACUGAUUUUGCUGUGAGCAGGAUGCACCGGUCUCCACACAGGCAGGGAGAAGAGUGAAGUUGCGCUAAUCCCGGUUGUCAUGCCAGAGAUACUUCACCUCUCCUACAGCGCGGCCCUAUAUCCUACUCUGAGCUUUGCACAACCUAAUAUGGGAGCUCCUUUCUACCAGCCCCCGACUUUUUGCGAGCCCUCUCUGCGUAAGAAAACGUCUUAUCGCUCACGAAACUCUAUCAAAAGAGUCGAAAAGUUACUAUUUAGCGCAAAUAUUUAUGCAUGCUUAUAUGCAACAGAGAUAAGUGGAUUAUUUAAACGCUUCUCGGUGUGUAUGUGUAAUGCAAAUACAUGUAAUUCAUGAUUGCAUCCAUACUAUUCCGGUUAUGUUUUUUGGAGAAGGUCCAACUUCUGUUAGCAUAAAUACGGACAUAUCCUAAACAUAUGAGUGUCUCUAAAUUUUACUUUUCAAUACCGUAGCAAUAAAUCAAAGAAACACGCAGACCUCCAAAACGACAUUCGCUGAUUUAAGAUGAGGUGCAACUUCACCUCCCCUCGCUCCUUCCUCAGGAACAGCUUCUCUCUUUGCUCAGUUCUAGCCACCUUAAGGUAAACAGCACUCCGCAACUCUGAAAUUCCUCUUAUUUCUUUUAAAAUAAAUAAA